UACAGAGGUCUCAAGCGUUGUUCGGAUUCAUUGGGCGUAAAGAGCUCGUAGGCGGCUUGUCGCGUCGUCCGUGAAAACCCACGGCUUAACUGUGGGCUUGCGGUCGAUACGGGCAGGCUAGAGUUCGGUAGGGGAGACUGGAAUUCCUGGUGUAGCGGUGAAAUGCGCAGAUAUCAGGAGGAACACCGGUGGCGAAGGCGGGUCUCUGGGCCGAUACUGACGCUGAGGAGCGAAAGCGUGGGGAGCGAACAGG
rnacentral:rRNA from 1 species